CUCCUACUGGAGGCACCAGUGAGGAAUAUUGGGCAAUGGGGGCAACCCUGAUCCAGCAAUGCCAUGUGUGUGAAGAAGGCCUUAGGGUUGUAAAGCACUUUAGUUGGGGAAGAAAGCUUUGAGGUUAAUAGCCUUGAAGAAAAGGACGUUACCCAAAGAAUAAGCACCGGCUAACUCCGUGCCAGCAGCCGCGGUAAUACGGGGGGUGCAAGCGUUAAUCGGAAUUACUGGGCGUAAAGGGUCUGUAGGUGGUUUGUUAAGUCAGAUGUGAAAGCCUAGGGCUCAACCUUGGAACUGCAUUUGAUACUGGUAAACUAGAGUACGGUAGAGGAAUAGGGAAUUUCUGGUGUAGCGGUGAAAUGCGUAGAGAUCAGAAGGAACACCAAUGGCGAAGGCAACAUUCUGGACCGAUACUGACACUGAGGGACGAAAGCGUGGGGAUCAAACAGGAUUAGAUACCCUGGUAGUCCACGCUGUAAACGAUGAGUACUAGCUGUUGGAGUCGGUGUAAAGGCUCUAGUGGCGCAGCUAACGCGAUAAGUACUCCGCCUGGGGAUUACGGCCGCAAGGCUAAAACUCAAAGGAAUUGACGGGGACCC
rnacentral:rRNA from 1 species